rnacentral:piRNA from 1 species
GGUCUAUUCAGUACUGACAGCAAGGAC